AGAACAGAAGUACUGUGCGAUUUUGGCUCAGGGUGGAAGAUGAAAGGAGAGCCCCUUUGGACAUGAAGCUCCGGUUGGCGGCUGCAUUUGGAUGCUAGAGGAGCUGCCACCAGAACGCCGGGCUGGCUGCCCAUGGCAAGGCUGGGAUUACUUUGCUGCUACAUGCCGUUGCUCAGCACAAGAACAAGGCGCUUACAAGAAGGUGGCUUUGUGUGGCGAUGUGCAGGGCAAGCUGAAGUGCACAAAAAUGGUUGCCUGCCAGUCCUCCGUAGGAGGAAAAUAGCCUGGCAUUGUGUCACUGGAGUGCAGACAGGCAGGAGAGCCAGAAGAUUUGUUGUCAGGAACCCUUGCACGUACUCUGGGGCGGCAGCUCAAGUUUUUAAGUUACACAAAAGGCAAAUGACCACUCAGAAACACCGAGACUGCAUUGGACAACAAGCGAAAUGCCUCACAAAAGUACCAGAGGCUGGUAUGGAUUACAGAAGGAGAAGUCACUUCCCAGUCUUGGACAUCCAGUCACUAGUUCCUUAG
rnacentral:lncRNA from 1 species